rnacentral:tRNA from 1 species
GCUAGAAUGGUCCAGUUGGUCAUGACGAGUGCCUAUCACGCAGUACUAACACCAUACUGCGGCAGUAGGUUCCGAGUUCGAUUGUCGGUUCCCGUACAGUU